UAGGGAAUCUUCCGCAAUGGGCGAAAGCCUGACGGAGCAACGCCGCGUGAGUGAUGAAGGUCUUCGGAUCGUAAAACUCUGUUAUUAGGGAAGAACAAAUGUGUAAGUAACUAUGCACAUCUUGACGGUACCUAAUCAGAAAGCCACGGCUAACUACGUGCCAGCAGCCGGGGUAAUACGUAGGUGGCAAGCGUUAUCCGGAAUUAUUGGGCGUAAAGCGCGCGUAGGCUGUUUUUUAAGUCUGAUGUGAAAGCCCACGGCUCAAACGUGGAGGGUCAUUGGAAACUGGAAAACUUGAGUGCAGAAGAGGAAAGUGGAAUUCCAUGUGUAGCGGUGAAAUGCGCAGUGAUAUGGAGGAACACCAGUGGCGAAGGCGACUUUCUGGUCUGUAACUGACGCUGAUGUGCGAAAGCGUGGGGAUCAAACAGG
rnacentral:rRNA from 1 species